GGCAAUUCCGUUUUGUUUGGGACCAUGAGACCUCCCACUCCUGGGGCCAGAAGGAGUUGCUGAGAAGGAGCUGUGGUUCUGACCUUCAGGGGAAUUCCCACGUCUGUAUGGUGGCUCGUGAAGAGCAUGGUUCCUUUUCUCAGCCCUCUUGAGGGGCGAGGAUGCUGAGGACUGAAGUCGGCCGCCUUUCAUCCUUCUUCAAGUCACAGAGAGACAGAGAGGAGGGGACGAAGGACGAGCCAUGGGGUUUUGAAAGCAGGCACAGCAGCAGGGGUGCUGCCUCCAGGGGUCUGCUCUGCCAAGAGUUCCUGUCCCAGGGCCUGCUCUCUGUCAUGUGAUGCUAUACUACAGCCAGGCUGGAAUUUGGUGUCUUAUUGCUACAAAGAAUCAGCUUUGUCAAUCCUAAGGUCACUGAGAGGCUGCCAGAGGGCCAUUUUCAUGACCAGAGGGAUCUGUUCAACACCCUGUGGGUCCCAGCACCUAUCUCAGGAAGCAGGGUGCAUCUGUCCACCACCAAGUCUCAGGGUGGCUGGGUGAGCGCUCAUCAGUCCCAGACAGCAGGUUGGCACAAAACGACACUGCCCACAAAACCACAGGAAGAAGAGAAACUCCGACUGUCUUUCAGCACACAGAAGACACUGUACUGGACCCGGACAUUAGGCAGACACCCACGCCUGACUUUCAGGAGAAAAGAGAACAUGACUAACGGAUAUUCUUAGUAGAUGGUUUAUUAGAAAAGAGAACAUCUUCCAGCAUGUGUCCUGGGGUGAUGGGUGUGGGAAGCACUCAGUCCAUAGUCCUGGUCCCUGGCUUCCCCAAGCCCAGCACCAUGAAUGUACAGUGGAAAGCAGAGGGUGCAGCGUCUCAGAAAGAUGCUUCCACUCACAAGGAUUGGAGCUCACAAGUGAGCUCCAUAACCUGCAAACCAGAGAAACCUGAGACACUGCCCCUUGGCCAUUUUAUCAACGGAGACUUUAUUGUGAUUAUCCCGGCAGGGGGCCGAGCUCUCCUCUCUGCAACAGGAAAUGCUCUUUAGUGAAAAUGCAGCAUUUCUCCAAGGGUAACAAAGCUGAACGCCUGCUUAGCUUAUGAACCCUCAGUUGGCCUAGGUGGUGCAAAGACCCUGCUGUUACUGCUUUGAUCAUCAGUACUGUGGACUGUACCAGGAGAUCCCUGGGAAUGUGCUCUGGGCGGAAGCAGCUUUUAUCUUUGGCCCUCACCCAUGCUUUAUAUGGUGAGGUUGGGAAAAUGGCACAAGGCUUCUCCUGAACCUCAAAUCAACACCCUUGCCCCAUUUAGAUCCUAUCUGGCUGUUUCUUGCUAAUAUUACUGCAUCACUGCACCAUCUUUCCUAUUUCAGCAAA
ensembl:lncRNA LINC01366 long intergenic non-protein coding RNA 1366